rnacentral:rRNA from 1 species
GCUUACGGCCAUACAACCCUGAACACGCCCGAUCUUGUCUGAUCUCGGAAGCCAGCUGGGUCGGGCCUGGUCAGUACUUGGAUGGGGCACUGCCUGGGAAUACCAGGUGCUGUAAGCU